rnacentral:rRNA from 1 species
GACGAACGCUGGCGGCGUGCUUAACACAUGCAAGUCGAGCGGAAAGGCCUGCUUUCCCAUGUGGAUUGCGGGUACUCGAGUGGCGAACGGGUGAGUAACACGUGAGUGAUCUGCCCCCAACUUGGGUAUAAGCCUGGGAAACUGGGUCUAAUUCCCGAUAGGACUGCAGGGUGGUGCCUGUGGUGGAAAACGAUUUUCUAGUGGUUGGGGAUGGGCUCGCGGCCUAUCAGCUUGUUGGUGGGGUAAUGGCCUACCAAGGCGGCGACGGGUAGCCGGCCUGGGAGGGUGGACGGCCACAUUGGGACUGAGAUACGGCCCCGACUCCUACGGGAGGCAGCAGUGGGGAAUAUUGCACAAUGGGCGGAAGCCUGAUGCAGCGACGCCGCGUGGGGGAUGACGGCCUUCGGGUUGUAAACUCCUUUCGACCGCGAGGAAGCCACCUGGUUGGAAGGGUGGUGACGGUAGUGGUAGAAGAAGCACCGGCUAACUACGUG